rnacentral:misc_RNA from 1 species
GCAUGUUGUAAAUACGCUUAUUGAGCUGACGCCUGCUAUAAUUAAAUGGCCAACGAAUGAAGAAUAUGAGCAAAUAUGGCUCCUAAAGAAAAUCCAGAGGCAUAUGUGAACCGCAAAGGUCACCAUUCAAUCCAACUUCAGGCUAUUUGUGAUCAUACUUGCCGAUUUAUACACUAUUACAUGGGACAUGUAAGAUCUGUACAGGAUCAACGAAUUUUUCGUUUAUCAGAAGUACAAUCCUACUUAGGAGAUGAGUUAAAAUUUCCACAGGAAUGUCAUUUAAUUGGAGAUGCAGCUUAUAAACUGCAUAAAAAUCUGUUAGUACCAUACCGAGAUAAUGGCCACAUGACAGAUCAGCAGAGAAAUUACAACUUUUGCCAUGAUUCUGCAGGAAUGGUUAUUGAGAGAGCAUUUGGCUUAUUAAAAGGACGUUUCCGAAGUCUUCUUACAACACUUGCGAUGGACAGAACAGACCUAAUUCCAAAGCAUAUUCUCGCCUGUUGUGUGUUACACAAUAUAUGUACAAUGAGAGGAUACAGGAGAGGAGGAGGAAAUGUUGGAGGAUGUAGAAGAAAGACAAUGUGUUGUGGGCAACACUGAUGAUAUGCGUGAUAUCGCUCAUGCAGGGGCUGCAAAAAGAGACUUAAUAGCUGCAAGAUUACUAAUGAGACAUGCUUAAGAAAGAAAUUAAUUCCAAAAUGAAAAUAUUGACCACCAGCGCAAAUCUCAACAUUACUACUCCUAGGAGUAUGCAAAAGAGUUCUUGGAUCAAACGAAAAUGAUGUUGAAGCAAAUGUAGACUCCGUAAUUUCAUGAGAUUCCAUUAUAAUAUCUGCCUCCAUUUUUACCAUCUUUUUUCGUUGUGAAGAACUAAGUACGCGUUUGUACGAAUGUUUAUGCGACAUGUUGAAUUAGUUUCCCUAAAAUUAGUUUAGUAG